CCAGCACGUUAUGUGGGCACUCUAAGGAGACUGCCGGUGACAAACCGGAGGAAGUGGGGAUGACGUCAAGUCAUCAUGGCCCUUACGGCCUGGGCUACACACGUGCUACAAUGGUCGGUACAAAGGGUUGCCAAGCCGCGAGGUGGAGCUAAUCCCAUAAAACCGAUCGUAGUCCGGAUCGCAGUCUGCAACUCGACUGCGUGAAGUCGGAAUCGCUAGUAAUCGUGAAUCAGAAUGUCACGGUGAAUACGUUCCCGGGCCUUGU
rnacentral:rRNA from 1 species